rnacentral:rRNA from 1 species
GUUCCACGGGAGGCAGCAGUGGGGGAUAUUGCACAAUGGGGGAAACCCUGAUGCAGCGACGCCGCGUGGAUGAAGAAGCGCCUCGGCGCGUAAAGCCAUGUCAGCAGGGAAGGAAAUGACGGUACCUGAAGAAGAAGCCCCGGCUAACUACGUGCCAGCAGCCGCGGUAAUACGUAGGGGGCAAGCGUUAUCCGGAUUUACUGGAUGUAAAGGGGGCGCAGACGGCGAUGCAAGCCAGGAGUGA